rnacentral:rRNA from 1 species
AUGGCGAGCAGCGUGGGAGGAGGAGGGGACGCAGGGGAAGGGGAGUGGCUCAAGGUGGCCGAGCUCAAGGCCAUGGCGGAAGCCCAGGACCCGCAUGUCAAGGAGGUGGACAACAUGACGCUGCGGAGGUUCCUGCGCGCGCGCGACCACGACGUAGGCAAGGCCUCGGCGAUGCUGCUCAAGUACGUGGCGUGGAGGCGGGAGGCCGUGCCGGGCGGCGUCGGCGGCGUGAUGCCGACCGAUCUGGUGCGGACGGAGCUGUCGCAGGACAAGGCCCGCAUGGGCGGCGUCGACCGCGCCGGCCGCCCCGUCCUGCUCGUCUUCCCCGCCAGGCACUUCUCCGCUGACCGCGACAUGGCGGAGCACAAGCGACUUGUCGUGUACCUGCUGGACAGGAUCAGCGCCAGGAUCCCGCGGGGGCAGGACAAGUUCAUGUGCAUCGUGGACCUCAAGGGGUGGGGGUACGCCAACUCCGACGUGCGCGCGUACAUCGCGGCCAUCGAGAUCAUGCAGAGCUACUACCCGGAGCGUCUGGGCAAAGCGCUCAUGGUCCACGUGCCCUACAUCUUCAUGAAGGCCUGGAAGAUGGUGUACCCCUUCAUCGACACCAACACCCGGGACAAGUUCGUGUUCGUGGACGACAAUAACUUGGAGGAGACUCUGCAGCGGGAGAUGGACGAGAGCCAGGUGCCGGAGAUGUACGGCGGGAAGCUGCCCACUGUCCCCCUCACCGACGACUAG